CCUACGGGGGCAGCAGUGGGGAAUAUUUGGCAAUGGGCGCAAGCCUGACCCAGCAACGCCGCGUGAAGGAAGAAGGUUUUCGGGUUGUAAACUUCUUUUCUCAGGGACGAAGCAAGUGACGGUACCUGAGGAAUAAGUCACGGCCAACUACGUGCCAGCAGGCGGCGUCAUACGUAAGUGGCAAGCGUUAACCGGAUUUACUGGGUGUAAAGGGCGUGUAGGCGGGACUGCAAGUCAGAUGUGAAAAACACGGGCUCAAACUGUGGCCUGCAUUUGAAACUGUAGUUCUAGAGUACUGGAGAGGCAAACGGAAUUCCUAGUGUAGCGGUGAAAUGCGUAGAUAUUAGGAGGAACACCAGUGGCGAAGGCGGUCUGCUGGACAGCAACUGACGCUGAGGCGCGAAAGCGUGGGGAGCAAACAGGAUUAGAUACCCCUGUAGUC
rnacentral:rRNA from 1 species